GACGAACGCUGGCGGCGUGCCUAAUACAUGCAAGUUGAGCGCUGAAGCUUGGUACUUGUACCAACUGGAUGAGCUGCGAACGGGUGAGUAACGCGUGGGUAAUCCGCCUUUCAUCGGGGGACAACAUUUGGAAACGAAUGCUAAUACCGCAUAAAACCUUUAAACACAAGUUUUAAGUUUGAAAGAUGCAAUUGCAUCACUCAAAGAUGAUCCCGCGUUGUAUUAGCUAGUUGGUGAGGUAAAGGCACACCCAGGCGAUGAUACAUAGCCGACCUGAGAGGGUGAGCGGCCACAUUGGGACUGAGACACGGCCCAAGCUCCUGCGGGAAGGAGCAGUAGGGGAUCUCCGGCAAUGGGGGGAAGUCUGACCGAGCAACGCCGGGUGAGUGAAGAAGGUUCUCGGAUCGUAGAACUCUGUUGGUAGGGAAGAACGUUGGUGAGAGUGGAAAGCUCAUCAAGUGACGGUAACUACCCAGAAAGGGACGGCUAACUACGUG
rnacentral:rRNA from 1 species